GGGACGUGUUAAAUGGAUUCAGUCCAACCAUAGGGAAACCAGCAGCCAUCCCACUGCUGGGGAUUUCACUGUAGUCACAAACCCUUUAGGAAGGAUGCCAUGCUGGAUGUCUCCACUUUCGUUGCAAUAAAUCUGGAAAAGACAUUGCUGUAACAAAGCAGGCAGCUGGGUCUGAAUGGCUGUCACCCCCCCACAAGCCAAGGUCAUUCUAAAAGUCUCCAGUGGCAGAUGGGCAAAAGCAGCUCUUCCUGCUUCAAAGGCACGGGAUGCUGCCGUGGAACCAGUUUUUUCUUCUGCAGGUCUUCUUGUCACCGAGCAGGAAGGAAAAGCUGCAAACAAAGGCAACUUCAGCGAUUUUGGAACAUGAAGAAUAAUGUCCUUCACUGCUGCCAAGGCAGGGCUCAGUGCAAAGAGCUGAACGGCACUGAUUCCUACAGUCAAGGACUUAUGCCCCUCUUGUUCCUUUGCAAGAUAAGCUGUUCCCAACUGGAUAUUAACUCUUCCUGCAAACGCAGUGUCAAAACAAUGGCAAUACACUACCAAGGUCCAGCAUUUUCCUUAAGAAACUGUGAAGCACCAAGGAGAGCUUCGUUGCAGAAGAAGCAAUGCAGACAUAUAAUGCAACAAGAUGUGAACACUGAUGGGAACAGCCCAUGGCUUCGAUGUUGGUCGCAGAUGCACAGGGCUGAGGACAUAGGGCUGAGGCCACCUCAGAGGGUCCUGCUGUUGCAGGUUCACUCCCAGCAUCUUGCAGUUGUGGUGGAAUCAGGAAUGCACAGAGAAGGUCACUGAAGGGUAACUUAAGUGCCAUGGACCUGAACAUGGAGACUUUGGCGCAAAAGAGGGGAGCCAUUCCUGCUCAUUUGCUGCCACUGAUACAUCCAAGAGACAAGGAGCUGUAAAGAGCACAGGAAUAAAGAGCAGGAGUGGAUGUCAAGAGAAAGGCAAGUAGGUGGCACGGAAGAUGGGAAGCAAAGAAAAAAAAUGCCUGGAUAACGUGGUACUAGAUCUUAAAUGCUGCUCAGUAGGCCUGAAUAGGAUCCUUUU